GCUGGGCAUGGUGGCGGGUGCCUGUAGUCCCAGCUACUCAGGAGGCUGAGGCAGGAGAAUCGCUUGAACCCAGGAGGCAGAGGUUGCAGUGAGCUAAGAUUGCACCACUGCACUCCAGCCUGGGUGAUAGAGUGAGACUCUGUCUCAA
rnacentral:SRP_RNA from 1 species